rnacentral:rRNA from 1 species
AUUGAACGCUGGCGGCAGACUUAACACAUGCAAGUCGAGCGGGGUGAUGGUGCUUGCACUAUCACUUAGCGGCGGACGGGUGAGUAAUGCUUAGGAAUCUGCCUAUUGGUGGGGGACAACAUCUCGAAAGGGAUGCUAAUACCGCAUACGUCCUACGGGAGAAAGCAGGGGAUCACUUGUGACCUUGCGCUAAUAGAUGAGCCUAAGUCGGAUUAGCUAGUUGGUGGGGUAAAGGCCUACCAAGGCGACGAUCUGUAGCGGGUCUGAGAGGAUGAUCCGCCACACUGGGACUGAGACACGGCCCAGACUCCUACGGGAGGCAGCAGUGGGGAAUAUUGGACAAUGGGGGGAACCCUGAUCCAGCCAUGCCGCGUGUGUGAAGAAGGCCUUAUGGUUGUAAAGCACUUUAAGCGAGGAGGAGGCUCUUUUGGUUAAUACCCAAGAUGAGUGGACGUUACUCGCAGAAUAAGCACCGGCUAACUCUGUGCCAGCAGCCGCGGUAA